rnacentral:lncRNA from 1 species
UCUUCCUCCUCACAUAAUAUCUCCCAAAGAUCCAAUGACGCCAAAAGUAGCUUCAUUUUGGCCUUCCAGUGGUGAAAGUUGUCACCUCUAAACUUUUCUACCAUUCUUAAGCUAUCACUCUCAAAAGAUGCCAUCUCAAGCUACAAGUAGGUCCAAAAAUCUCUUGAUUUGGAGUUGUAAUGCAAAAGAUAUGACUACUCAAAGAUUGCUGAACUACAAACUCAGAAUUCGCUGUUUUGCAACUUUU